AGGGUGACAGCCCCGUACACAAAAAUGCACAUGCUGUGAGCUCGAUGAGUAGGGCGGGACACGUGGUAUCCUGUCUGAAUAUGGGGGGACCAUCCUCCAAGGCUAAAUACUCCUGACUGACCGAUAGUGAACCAGUACCGUGAGGGAAAGGCGAAAAGAACCCCGGCGAGGGGAGUGAAAAAGAACCUGAAACCGUGUACGUACAAGCAGUGGGAGCACGCUUAGGCGUGUGACUGCGUACCUUUUGUAUAAUGGGUCAGCGACUUAUAUUCUGUAGCAAGGUUAACCGAAUAGGGGAGCCGAAGGGAAACCGAGUCUUAACUGGGCGUUAAGUUGCAGGGUAUAGACCCGAAACCCGGUGAUCUAGCCAUGGGCAGGUUGAAGGUUGGGUAACACUAACUGGAGGACCGAACCGACUAAUGUUGAAAAAUUAGCGGAUGACUUGUGGCUGGGGGUGAAAGGCCAAUCAAACCGGGAGAUAGCUGGUUCUCCCCGAAAGCUAUUUAGGUAGCGCCUCGUGAAUUCAUCUCCGGGGGUAGAGCACUGUUUCGGCAAGGGGGUCAUCCCGACUUACCAACCCGAUGCAAACUGCGAAUACCGGAGAAUGUUAUCACGGGAGACACACGGCGGGUGCUAACGUCCGUCGUGAAGAGGGAAACAACCCAGACCGCCAGCUAAGGUCCCAAAGUCAUGGUUAAGUGGGAAACGAUGUGGGAAGGCCCAGACAGCCAGGAUGUUGGCUUAGAAGCAGCCAUCAUUUAAAGAAAGCGUAAUAGCUCACUGGUCGAGUCGGCCUGCGCGGAAGAUGUAACGGGGCUAAACCAUGCACCGAAGCUGCGGCAGCGACGCUUAUGCGUUGUUGGGUAGGGGAGCGUUCUGUAAGCCUGUGAAGGUGUGCUGUGAGGCAUGCUGGAGGUAUCAGAAGUGCGAAUGCUGACAUAAGUAACGAUAAAGCGGGUGAAAAGCCCGCUCGCCGGAAGACCAAGGGUUCCUGUCCAACGUUAAUCGGGGCAGGGUGAGUCGACCCCUAAGGCGAGGCCGAAAGGCGUAGUCGAUGGGAAACAGGUUAAUAUUCCUGUACUUGGUGUUACUGCGAAGGGGGGACGGAGAAGGCUAUGUUGGCCGGGCGACGGUUGUCCCGGUUUAAGCGUGUAGGCUGGUUUUCCAGGCAAAUCCGGAAAAUCAAGGCUGAGGCGUGAUGACGAGGCACUACGGUGCUGAAGCAACAAAUGCCCUGCUUCCAGGAAAAGCCUCUAAGCAUCAGGUAACAUCAAAUCGUACCCCAAACCGACACAGGUGGUCAGGUAGAGAAUACCAAGGCGCUUGAGAGAACUCGGGUGAAGGAACUAGGCAAAAUGGUGCCGUAACUUCGGGAGAAGGCACGCUGAUAUGUAGGUGAAGCGACUUGCUCGUGGAGCUGAAAUCAGUCGAAGAUACCAGCUGGCUGCAACUGUUUAUUAAAAACACAGCACUGUGCAAACACGAAAGUGGACGUAUACGGUGUGACGCCUGCCCGGUGCCGGAAGGUUAAUUGAUGGGGUCAGCGCAAGCGAAGCUCUUGAUCGAAGCCCCGGUAAACGGCGGCCGUAACUAUAACGGUCCUAAGGUAGCGAAAUUCCUUGUCGGGUAAGUUCCGACCUGCACGAAUGGCGUAAUGAUGGCCAGGCUGUCUCCACCCGAGACUCAGUGAAAUUGAACUCGCUGUGAAGAUGCAGUGUACCCGCGGCAAGACGGAAAGACCCCGUGAACCUUUACUAUAGCUUGACACUGAACAUUGAGCCUUGAUGUGUAGGAUAGGUGGGAGGCUUUGAAGUGUGGACGCCAGUCUGCAUGGAGCCGACCUUGAAAUACCACCCUU
rnacentral:rRNA from 1 species